AUAAUAUUUUUUUAAUUUAAAUUUAAAAGUUAAACAACAUUUAUUGGAGUGUAUGGCCGAUUGUAAGCAGUUUCUGAAAAUUAAAGUAUACACGAGGCGUAGAUAAUUUAUGGUAAAAGGGUGGAAUAAAAACAUAAACCUCCUUCCUAAUAUUUUUAAUUUAAUUUGAUCUGUUACGAACAGAUAAUUUGUCCUUCACCAACAUUAACAAUUAACAACUAUAUUAGCACAAACGUCCCUACAGCUCAACUAUGAGUGCGGAUGUAAACAAACCGAUUACACUUGAAUUUCUUUAAAACAUAAAGAUAGUCGACAUUCUACUAGGCUCGCGGCAACUUACCUUUAUAGAUCUGUUAACUUAACUCGUACAGUAUUAUUGUGAUUACUAAAAUAAAUACUAUUAUUGUUUUACUUAUUAUUAUUAUUUCGGGUUGUGUACACUCGCCGUCGUCGUUCACCUAACUUGGAUACCACUAACACCUCUAGAGAUCCAGUCAGGGAAUAAUAGAUCCAACAUCAGGAAUAAUCAAAUUAAGUCAUAUGUUUAACACUUUGUCAUUAAAAAAUUUACCAAGAUCGCUCGAUUUAAUUCAUAUUUGUAUUGCUAACUCAAACUUAAAUCCAACAAUUGAAAUUAAAAAAGGGUGCCGAAAAAUUCUCAUCGAGGUCGCAAAAGAUGUGAAAAAAUAAUUUCUGUUGAACAGUACCAGUUUCGAGACUGCAGUCGAAGAACGCGAAAUUUAAAGCGCAGAAAACGGAAAAUUCUUCCAGAUUAAUCAAGGGAAACUCAAAAACUAUAAACGAUAGCCCAUUGAAAUGUGUUAUAAAAAUUAUGAACAGUCUAAUCGAAAAAGAAAAUUCAUCAAAAUGUAUGGUUGUAGUGAUGUCUAAAUUUGCAAAAUACAAACGCCGUGUAAGACGAUCAUAUCCACUUGAAGAUCGUGAUCCUAAUUCUCAGGACAGUGGUUCUCUUACUGCUCAUUCAGAUGAUUCCAGAUCAGUGUCAACAUUAUCUGAGAGCAAUACAUCAUGUACAGAUGAUUCAGAUGAUGAAUUCUUAGACAUUGCUGUAUCCCCAACAGGAUCGUCUUCAGAUUCACUUCUACUUGGAUUCAGUACAUUAACAGAAGGACAUAUUAUUAGCCAGUCAUCAAUUAUUGUUAAAAGAAAAACUACAAAAUAUUCUUCAGAUACUCCUCGCAAGACUGAUUUAUUGUUUGGUGAUAAUAAAAAUAAUGAAGCAGUUGCGAGAAAAAGAAAGUUGACACGUGAUUUAGAAUCAAAUCCUGAAAUUAAUGUAUUAAUAAAGAAAACUAGACCUAGUACGAAAUCUAAACCGGCCGAGAGAAGUUAAGGGACUAAUAUUGUCAACAUCAGCUGAUAUAAAAAUUGAUCAAGUUAUUAAUUAUUUGUCAUCCAAAAAUUUACCACAAGCACAAAAUGCAUUCCAUAAUUGCAUUGCUAAUUUAAACAUAAAUGGUUUUGAACAAAUGAAUUAUGAUAACGGGCGAUUUGAAAACUUAUAAAAAACGAUUAAAUUUGCGUUUUUAUCGAGCAUAUAAAAUUCUGCGAGAUUGCAUAAAAAUGUAUUCUCUUGAUGGACAUGAUACGUCAGAAAUGAGUAAUUGAACCUUAUACACUGUCUAUACAAUUAAAAAUAAAUGGGCAAAUAGUUUUACUAUGCUUUAGAUGUGUACGAAGGAGAUUUAAACGAAGACGACCGAAACGAUGUACGAAAAUGUAUAGUCGGAGAUAUAAUUAAAAUUAUUUCUGGUAAAAUUCCUCUAGAUGGAGUUGUUCGUGGUAUAAAAUUCUUCAUUUUUGGA